rnacentral:misc_RNA from 1 species
AACUUUUAGCAAUGGAUCUCUUGGCUCUCGCAUCGAUGAAGAACGCAGCGAAAUGCGAUAAGUAAUGUGAAUUGCAGAAUUCAGUGAAUCAUUGAAUCUUUGAACGCACCUUGCGCCCUUUGGCUAUUCCGAAGGGCAUGCCUGUUUGAGUAUCAUGAACACCUCAACUCUCAUGGCUUGCCAUGAUGAGCUUGGACUCUGGGGGUCUUGCUGGCUCAUGGUCAGCUCCUCUUAAAUGAAUCAGCCUUCCAGUGUUUGGUGGCAUCACAGGUGUGAUAACUAUCUACGCUUGUGGUGUCCUCCCAGGUAACCUUCAGUGAUGGAGGUUCUCUGGAGCUCACAGAUGUCUCUCCUUGGGGAGGACAGCUUUUGAACGUUUGAUCUCAAAUCAGGUAGGACUACCCGCUGAACUUAAGCAUAUCAAUAAGCGGAGGCU